UAACUCAUCACAUUGUCUUUCAAAAUUUCUUGAAAUGCUGCAAUGUCAGCUAUAUUUUUAUAAUUCUAAAUUCGGAGUGGAAUUUCACAAACCGCAAUCAUUUACAAGCUCAAUAAUAGAUGUUUUUUGGUCCGGAUUUGGCCCGUAUGGGAAUGAUCUGCGCAAAAUGGUUGUAUGUUGUUCUGGACAGCCACAAAAUUUACGACCAAAACGUUAGCUGCCUUUGUAGAAUUACCGAGGAUCAUUUAAAUCUAAAGUAAAUAAUUGUGAUUAAAUGCAAACUU